AAAGGUGGUAAAAAUACAACGUAGCCUUUGCAAUUUACAUGUAAAAUCAGAAAUUAUUCAACAGUGUAUGAUUCUACAAACACAGGAAUAAGUUGGUAUCAUUGAUAAUCCUAAUCCAUUAGGAAUAAGGUCGUAUUUUGACAGCGUCAAAACGAAGUUUGCUGGAGCAUUACUGUUAAAUUUACUGCCAGUACAACAGUUUGCUGUUUUACGACCGGAAAAUGCGGCAUUAAUGUCUUGCUCAAAACCGGUUUCGAGCGUAACAGUAAUGACGCAUUUUCUGGCUGAAGAUGACACACAUACCAGACCGACCAGGAGAGGGAUUACGACAUCAGUUCUCUUUUCUCUAUUCAAUCAAAACUCUACCGAUAGAAGAGAACGACUCACUAUCUCAUUGAAAGAUGUCGCAGCAACAAAACCAAUGUC